rnacentral:lncRNA from 1 species
AUGGACCUUCCUGUCCCCAAUUCAGCAUCACCUAGCUCUCUCCUAAUGUGGGUUAAUUUUCCAUCAGCUCCUAGAAAGAGUGUAUUUCCAGACUCUCUGGGGACAGACAGAGGAGUUUCAAACAGGAUAAAGCAAGCUUCGAUGGAGAAUAUUUGGAGCCUGUCAUGGCAUCAGGCUGCUCCGACCACAUUUCUGCCAGAGGGGGGGAAAUGUGUUUGCUUGGAACAGGGUCACUGUGAAAAUCAAAUGAGAUUGCACAGGGAAAAAUCUCUUCAGACUGGAGCUCCAUGCAAUGGUCAUCAUCUGUUGAUGUUGCUCUCUGGCCUCUACAAAGGAUGAGCCAGUGAUGUGUACAACGUUAAAAGAAAUAUUUGUGGAAUGAAAUGAGUGGAUGUUGUGUAAACAUUCAUUGUGCAUGUACGUAUUUAGCUCCACUAACCAGAACCCUGGGGGACCAGAACCAGUUACCCCAGUGUCUAGGGAGGAAGAAAGAAAUCUCUCUCCUUAGCUGAAACCUUACUAAGAGCUCAGUCCAGAGCUUGCUUGAAAGUAAAGACAUGUCAUCCAAUUUAAUCCCCACACCAGCCCCACAGAGAGAUCUUUUUAUAUCCCUAUGCUAAGAAGACCUACCACUGACUGUGUGCCAGAUCUGUGCAAGAUGCUUUUGAAAAAUGUAAUUCCCUUUAAGUGCUCACACUAUCUCAAUGAGACAAGAAUUAUUAUUACUGAACAGAAAACAAGGUCAAAAAGUUUAAGUGAUCUGCUCAAGGGCAAAUGGGCAGUAAGAGAAGAAAGAGGAUGAGUCAGGAUUGAACAGGGGUUUGCUCUGUUCAAAUAAAUAAAAUCAAAUUAAUAAGGCUGCCCCUUCACCAACUGCUUCCCUGACAUUCUCACAUACGUUCGGUUGGCGCUUAAUAGGAACUGAAUUGAAACCUCCCGGUGAUCUGCUAGAGACUUGGAUCUCUAGCAAUAGAUGCUUCAAAGGGAUCAGUUUCUAUUUCCGAUGCCCACAGAAAUCUUGAGGGAGAUUUCUCCCUACCCUUGCUCUGGCGUCACGAUGUUCCUGUUUUUCUCUGGGCCCUGUGACUCAGCACACGGCUCCAGAUGGCUUCUUGCAUUUCCAGCCUUCUUGGCUGAAGUGCCCAGGCCCUGGUACAGUAAACAAACCCAAACUAAAUUGCAACAAAGCAUCAAGGCCUCCCCGCCCCUGCCCUCUGUUAUGAAGACUACUCAUAAUGGCCGGUCCCUCCAUGGCUGGCCUCCCUGAAAAAGUCCCCUUCCCUCCUAGCCCUGAGAUCACCCCACUUGGCCCCAGCACAUCUGAGGCCCAAAGAUGAGAUCCGGGAGCAAUCAUUCUCCCAGCAACCAGUAAAAGGACGAAAGCGCAGUUCUUUCACCCUUUGAUCCAUUACUGACUGUAGGCAAUUUACUUUCUGAGCCUCGGUAAUCACAUGGAGACGCUAAUAUUGUCUGCUCCUGAGGGUUGAGAGUUAGAGUUGCCAGACAAAAUACAGAAAAUCCAGUUGCAUUUGAAUGUCAGAUAAAUGAUCUUUUUUUUCAGUACAAGCAUGUCCCAAAUAUUGCUCAAAUUUAACUGUGUGCCUCGUGACUUUAUUUGUUAAAUCUGGCAAGCUUAUGUGGAGUGUGGAGUGAGAUAACAAACGCAAAAGUGCUUUGUCACCUAAGGAGAGCUAUACACUUCAUGAUAUCUUUUCCAUGAGAUGUAUGCAUGUGUACCCAUGGCAACCAGCUUUGUCUGGAUCAUGGAAGUGGUAGUUUCAGGCAGGUGGUGGAGAAUGUGUACCACCUGAGCCCGUGAAUUGAGAUCCCUGGGUCUUGUUUGUCAAUUGACUGAUCUUUGGACAUUUCACUUCUGAGCCUUUGAUGCUUCCAUCUUUAAUUCUCUCAAAUGCUUGAAUAAAAAACAUAGGAGUAACAGAUGCUCAAAAGUUUGCCUAUUACUGAUUAACUAUCAUGUGCUGUAGGCCAAAUCUCCUUUUGAUUUUGUGGUUAAAGAAGAAACAAGUAGAAUAAUUUAUAAGUGUAAAUCCUUAUUUAUUAUUACAUAAUAAAGGAUGUAUAUGCGCAACAUUUAACUCUAAUAUGUUUUAAGAGCCCUGUUUAACAUAGGAAAACAAAGGAACCAGUAUACUAUAAAUAGACUAUGAUGCUUAUUUUGGAUUUGGGGUGUUUCCUCCUACUAGAAAUCUAAAUUCUGUGAGAGGAGAGAUUUUUGCCUGUUUUGUUCCCCAGGACUUAGAACAGUGCCUGGCCCAGGAAGAGUGGAAUAUUUGAGCAACUGAAACCAGUUUAACUAGCCACAUAAAGAGAAAUAAAUGCAGCAAGGCACAGAGUCUCAUGCCUGUAAUCCCAUCACUUUGGGAGGCUGAGGCAGGAGGACUGCUUGAGCCAAGGAGUUUAAGACCAGCCUGGGCAACAAAGUGAGACCCUGUCUCUGCAAAAGAAAUAUAAAAGUUAGCCAGGUGUGGUGGCACAUGCUUGUGGUCCCACUUACAGGAGAGGCUAAAGCAGGAGGAUCCCUUGAGACUAGGAUGUCAAGGCUGCAGUUAGCCAUGUUCAGGCUGCUGCACUUCAGCCUGGAUGACAGAGCAAGACACUGUCUCAAAAAAGAAGGAGAGAGAGAGAGAGAGCGAGAGAGAGAGAGACAGAGAGAGACAGAGAGAGAGAGAGACAGAGAGAGAGGGAGAAAGAAAGGAAGGAAGAAAGAAAGAAAGAAAAAGAAAGAGAGGAAGGAAAAAAUGCACUUAUAAUCUAUUGGAAAGGAACCUUUCUGGAACUAACCCACCUCCCUUUCUUGCUAAGUUAUAGUCAUAGCCCUAAGUUUUUAGAGGGAUUUACACCACUUCCCAACAGGGUCUCCACCAAGCAGUGACCCACUCACUCAAGUGUUCAGUGACCUAGGUUGCUUGGUAUGCCUUUUUACAAACUCCCCAAAGAGCUGCUGCUAUGUUUAUUAUGUUUCAACAAAUUUGC